CAACCCUAUCACUUCAAAAGAAACAUAUCCCCUCUCUUUCUCUCUACAAGAACAAGCUGAAACAAAAUGACUAAAAUACCUAUCUAUAUAUAUAUACUAAUCAAUCCCUACCACUUUCAAAAGAAACAUAUCCCCCUCUCUCUCUCCUCGAUCUAAACCCUAGUGCGCCGUUUCUGCCACCACCAUCAAUGUCUCUCAUCCGCCGUUACCGUCUCCUUUCUGCUACUAACACUCUCACCACCGUGUCACAAUCGCUAUCAACUUAGCGACGAGAAAAGACUUUGGUUCAUCGUCGAAACCCUCCACAACUUCAUUGCCACGUCGAUCACCUUAGAUCUGAGAUCAUCACUUCAAAUUGCCACUGUCCAUGGCCUCUUGUCGUUCAUCGCCAGAUCUACUGGUGUUGGAGUCAUAUGGUUCUAACGUUGUAACAUUUUGGAAGAGGUCGCAGUAAUUCAGUGGAUCUGGCGGUGAGUGGAGAUUAGGGAGAAGACUUUAGUUUUGACGCCGUUACCGUUAGCGGUGGUGGUUAGAUGUGUUUUUCUGCCACUGUCGCCGCGCUUCAAAGGCAUCACAUUGUUGUUGAUGAUGAUGAAACAUAUUGUUGUUAUUGUUGAUGAUGAUAAUGAUUGCAAUAAAUUAAAUAAAAUAUGUGGUGUAAUAGAUUAAACAAAAUGGCUUAGUGUAUUUCAAUAACAAAAAUUUGAACAGAUAAAAAAAUUCAGGAAAAAAAAUUAAACAAAUAAAUAGAAUUUAGGGAUAAAAUUCAAUAGAUAGAUAUAAUUUAGGAGAAAAAUUGAACA